rfam:Stegodyphus mimosarum contig36506, whole genome shotgun sequence.
GCCUUCCUGGUGCAGUGGUCAGCACGCUGGGCGCGUAUUCUAGAGGUCCGUGGUUCGAGUCCCGGCGAAGGCC